rnacentral:rRNA from 1 species
UACGUAGGGGGCGAGCGUUGUCCGGAAUUACUGGGUGUAAAGGGCGUGUAGGCGGGGGUGCAAGUUAUCGGUAAAAACCCGAGGCUCAACUUCGGGCUUGCCGGUAAAACUGUAUCUCUUGAGUGCAGGAGAGGGAAGUGGAAUUCCCGGAGUAGCGGUGAAAUGCGUAGAUACCGGGAGGAACACCAGUGGCGAAGGCGGCUUCCUGGCCUGCUACUGACGCUGAGGCGCGAAAGCUAGGGUAGCGAACGGGAUUAGAUACCCCGGUAGUCCUAGCUGUAAACGAUGGUUACUAGGUGUGGGUGGGUUCAAACCAUCCGUGCCGGAGCUAACGCAAUAAGUAACCCACCUGGGGAGUACGGCCGCAAGGCUGAA